rnacentral:rRNA from 1 species
UACGGAGGGGACUAGCGUUGUUCGGAAUUACUGGGCGUAAAGCGCACGUAGGCGGAUUUGUAAGUCAGGGGUGAAAUCCCGGGGCUCAACCUCGGAACUGCCUUUGAUACUGCAAGUCUUGAGUCCGGAAGAGGUGAGUGGAAUUCCUAGUGUAGAGGUGAAAUUCGUAGAUAUUAGGAAGAACACCAGUGGCGAAGGCGGCGCGCUGGUCCGGUACUGACGCUGAGGUGCGAAAGCGUGGGGAGCAAACAGG